ensembl:lncRNA
CGACACCGAACGGGCCGCUCGCUGUGAAAGAAACAAGUCUGUUGUUUUUAUUUAACAGACAGACAGACAGACAGGUAAUUUGAAUUAAACAACCCGUUUACUCAGUGAUGUUUGCUAACGUUAGCUUGGAGGUCGGCUAACGUGCUAAGCUAGCUGAUGAAGACGUUUGUAAAUAAACAAACAAAGAGAAAGAAGACUGUCAACAAACAAACAAUUUAUAAAAACAACAAAUACAGUUGGACAUCAGUGGACAUCUCCAUGAAAUAAAGGGGAACCGUCAACGGACCGGAUGUUUAAGCGCUCCAGACGCCAACCGUGUCCAAUCGGUUUGGAUCCGCGAUUCAUGGCUCCCCUCGUCCUCCCAUCCAACCGGGUCCACUGAGACAAACCCCUCACCAAUGGAGCUGAAACUCCUACACGCCUCCUCCCUCCACUCCCAAAAGUCAUCUGAGAGGAGUUGAAAGUUGCCUCUUUGAUUCAGCAUCCAGUCACAUUCUGA